UAUGGGUGGUGGUGCAUGGCCGUUCUUAGUUGGUGGGUUGCCUUGUCAGGUUGAUUCCGGUAACGAACGAGACCUCAGCCUGCUAAGUUUAGUAGGGCUGGAAAGGCGUCCCUGCCAAAGUGGGGCGCCUAGUCCGGGGGGGGCGAGAGCGGUGGCAAAGUUUCUUUGUUCUUCAUCUGUUCUCCCCCUCCGGGCAACACCCUCAAAUUGCCGGGACCCCCCGCUUGAGGCACGCAGUACCGCCGGCUUGCUGUGAAGCAUGCCGGCACCCAGGCUAACCCCUGGUGGUGUGGUAACAACCUGCGGUGCUAGGGGCAAUCGGCAGCCAAGUCCCACAACAGCUCUUUGUGCUCCGGCAUUUAAAGACUGCUGCGGGAUGAAGUUCACAGACUAGAUGGGGGUGGGUACACUCUGGGUUGGAUCCAAACAUUGUUCCAACCGUGUGCUUAAGAUAUAGUCGGCCCCCACCGAGAGGUGGUGCAUAGGAGGACGCGCGGUUGACCGCGUUGAGAGCCUACGCAUGGUGCCAAAGGGGCUGCAGAUAUAUGCACAGCCCCAAAGGUCCAGGAACAAGCGGCUAAAUAGUCACUCUCGCUUUUUGCGGGUGGCCGACUUCUUAGAGGGACUAUUGUCGAUAGACAAUG
rnacentral:rRNA from 1 species